UGUCUGGGCAUCUGCGCUGCGGCUGGAGGUACGGCUGGUCCUCUGCCUGCUGUCCGCUGCCACCUUGGUCUGCUCUUGCCACCCUGGCGCCGCGAACUCUGUGCCGCCUCUCCCUUCACCCUGUCUUGGGACGGCCGGCGCUAAGAAUUCAUGCUAUGACCUUCGAUGCAGCCAGGAGGUGACACCAAACUCGAUCAGAAACCAUGCCACUGGUGAAGAGGUAUAUUGAGCCCUGCCUGGCCCAGUGAGGUUACUAGAGAAUUGGAAGAGACUCAAAUCAGCAUCCUGCACAUGGUUAUCAAACCAUUGUGAAGUCUUAAUUCCUGGGCAGCCUGAAACCUUGUCAUUGAGUCAAGAGCAACACUAAGACUUACCUGUCACUUAUCCUGAGGCUUCCUGCCCAGUGGGUUCACCAGCAAGCCAGAAUGAAGCAUCAUUGCCCUGGAUGUCCUUGUGAAGCCGUUAGGAAGUCUUGGCUGAAUUUUGAAGGAUAUCUUUGAAAAGUGUUUUAGAGAGUCUACCAGAUUUUCCAUGUGAGUGCAUGUGCAGCAGAAGAGGGGGUCUUCUCAGUGAUUAAGGUUCAACCUUGGAAAUUCAGGCUCCUCAAUCUUCAGGUCUUCAUCCUCCAUUUGACUUUCCAUCUCGUCCACGGAGGAUUGCUGAGUUAAGUCAGGAAAGAAAACGGUCGUGCACAGAGGGAGAAUUGAUCACCGUCUGUUCUUCAAAGACACUUCUGUGGCAGUUGUUGGGGCUACUAGUGCUCACUGCCCUGACAGAGACCUGCUUCAACAGGCUGCUCAAUAUGUUGAAAAUGGAGUCCAGGGACCAUCGUCUUUAUAUAGAAAGUUCCAACUUGAGAUGCCUUUAUUAUUACAUCCAAGAAUCCUCUCCACUCUUUCCCUGGCUUCUCAUACCUGUGGGAUUGAUGGGCCAGCCUGUGUCCUACCAGUGUUUCCUGAGUAUUUAUCACUGUUCAAUUUGGGGGUUAAUGGGAGAAGGAUGGCGGAACUACGAUGGAUAAUCAAGUGUGUUAAGAUCUUAAAGAUUUUCUGUGGAUUUCGACGUGCCUCAAAGAACCUUCCUGUCCGGUUCUUCAGUGACUGUUCUUUACAGUCUUGCCUCUGCUACUUCUCUGCUAGAUCAUUAUUUAGCCCAGCUGUAUUACGGGAUCUUUUGACUUCAUGGUAUCACUGGAAAGCUUACAUGUCCUAGUGGAUGAAAAUAUUUCAAUGCAGUUUGAAUAUAUCACCCACUGUUUUUUGGUCUCCAUGGUUUAUGAUGAGAAGUCAGCUAUAACUUACAGAGGAGCCAUUGUACAUGAUGAGUUGUUUUUCUCUUGCUGCAUUCAAGAUUCUGAAGAGCCCAUUAGAAAGAGCAUGUCAAGUUCUCACCACAAAUACCAUUGGAGUUACAGUUGGAAUGGCAUUGAAUUAUAGAAUAAUUUUUGGAGAGCUGUCAUCUUUAUAAUUUUCUCAUACAUGAAGGUGCUUCUCUCUGCUGCCUUUUGUGCUGCCAGGCACAGUGCUUGGUGAUGGGGAUAUGGAGAUGAAUUAGACACGAUUCCUGCCCUCAAAGAGUUCUCAGUCUAGUGAGAGAGUUCGACAUGUACACAGAUACUUACAACAGUAUGGUAUGCUCUACAAUGGAGGUAUCAUUGUUAGUUCUUGGGACAUUCACCGCGUGACAGAAACAACAGCAGGCCCUGGUGGCUGGGAGGACUUCAUGGAUCCAACAGCAACCUGAAGAAAUCCUACUCGGAUGGAUAUAAUACAACCUGCUAAGUGUCCUAGCACUUAUCAGGUUGUAUUAUCAUUGUCCGUGUCUAUGGCUCUCGUCUACCAGACUCUAAAUUCCUAACGGGCAAGGACAGUGCCUUAUUCAUCUUUGUAUUCACAGUGCCUAAUCCGGUGCACAUUGUAGGCCUCAUUAAAUGUUUGUUGAAUGAAAAAAUGAAUCAUCAACAGACAUUAAUUGGGCGCCUGCUCUGUGAUCUCCAUGGGCUCAGCUUGUCCCCGCCAGUUGCCUACAACGUCCAAGCUGUCUUCAGUAUGCUUUCUCCUGAAGCUUACUCCUAUCUUCUAAUUCUUUUGCCAAGGACUUUUCUGUGUAGUGCAAAAAUAGCAAAUAUACUUCAUCUCAAGUACCAUCUCCAACUGAUUGAUAGUACCUGUCUUAUGUUUUAUAAAAAGGAUUCUGAAGCCAGAUCUCAGCUCAGUAUGAAAGAGGAUUAUAACUAAUUAGUGAUGUUUGCUGGGGGUGGGGGAAGGGGAGUAGCAGCACAAGUGCCACAUAUAUGUCAUAUUUAAUAUUGUAUUUUCCAUGAAAUACUCUGUUUCUAUGCCUGUAUUUUAGUCUUGGCUACUUGCAGAUGUUGCAUUGUUGCUGCUGCCACUACUACACUUGCUGCCAGUUGCUCCUUGGGUAGGACCAGAGUGAUCAUUGAUCAGAAACUUCAUCCUCACAGUCUGGGGUUUGCUCCUGUGGCUGGUAUUCACAGUUUUCCCCUUUCAACUAUACCUCAGCUAUCCCCUUACCUACAUUAACAGGUAGGCCUCCAGAUUAUCUUCACCACUCAACAGGCUCAUACUUCCUUUUUCUUAUUUAGUGUGAUAAAUCAUCAUUGCUUCAUGAGAAGCCUUCUUUCUGUUAGAAGAUGUGACAACUAGAAUACAAGUUAACCAAUUCCAUCAGGGCCCUACAGUGAGUCAUAAAAGCUCCCUUUUAAUGUAGGAGAAAAUUGAGCAUGCUCACAGACUACAGGGCAGGGAAAAGGGAGGCAUUGUACAUGUGGGAGAGAGAUGAUAACUUUUGGCUCUUAGAACACGGGUGGAGGGUUAGCCUUAGAUGAAAGGAGUUACCUCUUCACUGGGGCAUAGUGACAAGAAUAAGAGUUAGGAAGAGUACCUGAUAAGGGUGUUGAAGAUUUGUAGUUGGAGAGGUGGAUGAUAGAGAGGAAGCUGACCAGGGACAGGAUUAUGGAGACAAGAGUCUAAGGAAUAUCCAGGCCAAAAGGCUGGAUUGGAGAGCUUAUGACAUAUCAAAGUGAACAACUAGUUUGAAACUUGAUAAUAGAUUCAGGAAAAUAUAAAGUGGUCUUGGACCAUUGUUACAAGUAACAUUUGGUUGCCUGGAACUGAUCUUGAUUGAUUGAGGGAUGGACAGCUAGCAAGAGAGGAGUUAUGCAGAAAUGGAUUUGAGGAUCCAGACUGUAUAUGGAAGGAAGCUCAGAGUCUGUAAAAAAAAAAGAGGCCUUAGUGCAAUCAAGAUGGGUGCUGAGUAGUUGGAAAACUAGAAUGAUAGGACCUGUAUCAGAGGCUGAACUUUGGAAUGUUAAAAUUUUAAAAUUGGAGUGAUCAAGAUACCUGUGAUGGUAGGAUGUCAGAUGGUUGUUUACCUGGAUACUGAAGUGACCCAGGAUUAUAGCAAAAGCUGGGCUAGGAAUGAACACUGUAGGCUAGAUAAAAUAGGCUUCAGUGACUGAGGAAUGAUCUGGAGGUUGGCACAUGACAGUUGUGCAGAUGCAAGAGAAGAGAGGUUGUAGUGGGAUGGUAGUAUGAGCCUCAGAAGAGUGGUGGGGAUUACUAGAAGAUGCAAAAACUGUGGUUUGCCCAUUGCACUGAGGUUUUGGCUGGCAGAAUGCACAUCUAAAAUGAUCCCCUCCUUUAUUAAGUGCUUGUUCUAUAUCUGACACUUCGCUGUGUGCCAUCUGUUUAUCUCUUUUGGAUCUGUCAACAUUUCAUGUGUGAAAAUGAGCAGCAAUCCCAGGCAAGGAUAGCUAGGCUGCUGGCCCUUAACACUGGUGGAAUCCUGUGGCCAUCUCCUAACUCUUUGAAAGAGCAGCAAGGCUGGUCAUCUGGAAGUAUGAUAAAAAGAUUUGUUUAGGAUUAAAAUUUUCCCUUGACCUUGAUGUAACUUCAUUACAUGGUACAGGCUUUUGUUGGCUGUGUUCCAUAAUGUGCUUUGGCUUCUGAGCCUCUGAGUUGAGGAGUGAACUAGAACUGCCCUUUGAAAAAGACAGGCACAGUACUUGAAAAACACUCGUGUUGAUUAGAACAAGACACAGUCCUAUUAUCUAAUUGAACUUUUAAGAUAAAGAGUAGACAAAAGAAAGCCCACAUCAGUGGGUGAAUAACAAAACCACUUUGUAAAAGCCAUUUAGCUUCAGGAUGCAUCCAGUCUGGUGGCCAUAUUGUAGAUGUUUCCUGUGCUGUUGGGAAGGAUGGCUGGAAAUUGAUGCAAAGAGAUGGCCCUUAGGACUUGGAAGGUAAAGUUUAGGAAGAGAGUCUCUCUGAACCCUCUGAAAUUGCAUGCAGUCAUUUUUCUUUUGUUAUAGUCUUCAAAUGAGCCAAUAUUCCAAUAAAGGUUUAGAGCCACUGUGUUAGAGUGACCAGACCCUCAGAUAGCCCAUCCCUUCCCAUGGGGGCUGCUCUAUAUUUAUUCCUCAGGAGGAGCUGGUAGAAGACUUCAUGAAGGAGAAGAAAAGGAAAAGAUCAGAGGAUGACUACAGCCUCUCUUCAUCCCAGCUUUGCAAAGCAUGACUCAAUAGAUAGAUCACUCUUUUGAAGACUCUCCAGACCACAGGUUGCUCUUUUCAAUUGCAUGCUUAGCCCUCUUGGCUCCUUUCAGAAGUUGUACUCUAUGUAUGUAUAUAUGAACUAUCACUUCGCAUAAAGAGGACACCAUGUAGUCAAAAAUUGCCAGAUCCCCAAUGCUGGAAUAUAGGCCACCAGAGAUGAGUUUGAGUUUCAGCAACGUAAGACCCCAACUUCAUGGAAGGAAGGUAGUCAAUUGACUUGAAAAUAACCCCAAUCCCUGUAUUCAUAUUCUUUUUCCUUCAGUCCUAUGGCUAAGAUAUCACUGAUUAAAGCAAACAAAAGCCAUGACUUUCUCCUUCCACUGGCACUUCUCUAUCCCACGUAUAUGCCACUGUGAGUCACUGUCUUUCAUUAGCACUUCUUUCCAUCUCUUAAAACCCAAGGAGGUAUGAAUACUAAGGUUGGGGUUGAAUUUGUCAUAAUUACUCUGCAGUUGGAGAAUACUCAAUGUUAAUCACCCUGAAACCAACUCCCACCUUAUCUCCUGGGGCAGCCACAGGAGACACUGUAGCCAUGGCUAGCAACUGGACCCCAGCCCCAGGGAUUACUCCUGAUGUCUCAACUGAUUAUGAAAUACCAGUAGGAGGGCUUGUUUCCCUUUCUAACUUGGUCAUCAGAGAUUAGGAUUUGCAUACAUAUGAUAUAUAAGGACACACAUCUUAUGGGUCAAUAGUAAACAGUGUCAGGUUACUUUUUGUCUCUUGGGGAUGGGCAAGAUAGGGUAUGGGGGAAGUGGAAAGUCUUGAACCUUUCAAAUAUUCCCAGUGAUUGUUCAGGACACCCCUAGUCACAUCUUCUGGUGCCUUAUCCUGUGCCUUGCCUCUCCUUUCUUCAUAAUCCUUCUAGUGCACUCCUUGCUCUCUCUAGCCACCUUUCAUCUCCUGCCCCACCCUGAUGGGUUUCAGCAGGUGUUUAUUUUCUUUUCCUUCCCCCAGGCCAUCUGUAACAGGCCCCAGAUAGGAAGAGCCUUACUGUGAAUGAGUGAAUGAAGAUUCAGUGAGUGUUGGUAGUGACACCAUGUUUCUCUCUGGAUUUAAGGAGAGAAGGAGUGCGGUGCAGAGGGGAAGGAGAGGGAAGCUAUGAAAUCCCAUUAUGGAGUAACAAAUGCUUGACAUUUUAGUGGGUAUUAGACCUAGAAGCCUACAUGAUUGAAGGAAGCAAACCUGAGAUUUCUGAUAUUUGUGAGUGAAGAUAGGUGUUAACUCCUUAUUGCCAUUAAGAAUGAAGGGAGGAGAGAAAAGUAAAGGUCAUAAAAUCCUUUACCUCAGUGGAGAAGGCACUGAGACUCACUUUAUGAACCUGUUAUUUUUAGAGGUAGGGUGAAGGUAAGUUGUUGUGCUGCACUUUCGUUACUCGUGAGAGUCACUGUCAGCCACUUUUCUUAGGUAGGUCUGCCCUUGUGGAGGUUUCUGUUGACCUGUAUAAAAAAAACAACCCAGAAAAAAGUUUGCAACUUAGAAGAACUCUCCAGUUCAAUAACAGGGUGUUAAAGGGGUUGAGGACAGAGGAAAUAGCACAAGUAGUACCAAAUAGCUCAGUUUUUUUGUUUUUCUUUUUAAUAGGAUGAAUGGGCCAGAGAUAGUGGGCAGAAUGGCUUCAUGCAACCCCAAACAGCAGAUAGGACAUAAGGAAACAGUACAAUGAAAGGUCAAUACUUGGACGUUUGUCAUUCCCCAGAGAAUGAUGGAAUAUCUAAAAUAAAAUUAGGAGCUGCUUUGGAGAAGGGUUUUAAAAGAUUAUUUCAUAGAAGAAAGAUUUAGAAGAGGGGAAACUUCCAGUUAUAUAAGAUGGGCAUUAUAGCUUUUAAAGACAUCUGUUCCCUGUAUAGGUCAUAGAGAUUGAUACCAGUAUCAGCCUGUGGCUGAUCAGGCCAGUUUAACUAAGCAGUUUCAUGUUGCUGGAGGGAUGCUGCCACUCUCUGUCUCUCACUUUGGCAGGUAUUCAUUCAUCUGCAAUGAGUCCAGUACCUGAAGGAGCAAGACAACAACAAGCAUCCAGGGGGACAACAGUGUGGCCUUCUGAGUGAAGAUAGCAACUGAAAAGAUCAUGGGAUUGGCUGCAUUAGGCUGGGUUUGUUUCUUUUUUGAAAAUAAAAAAUGUUCUCUUUUUGAUGACAAAAGUAACAAGUGGUCAUUGUUAAAAAAUAAAGUGAAAGGUAUAAAUUAAAAAGUAAAUAAUACCUAUAAUCUUAUAACCCAGAAAAUAAUUCAUAACAUUUGCAUGUAUUUCCUUUUACUCUUUAAAAUAAGUGUAUAUAACACAGUUUAAAAAUAAAAUUGACAUUGUAUAUGUUAUUCUCUAACUUUUCUCAUUUGAGAAUAAACAAGCAUUCUCCUA